AAAAAAAAAAAAAUCUUUUCUUUGGUACUCUUUAGUUUUACUAUAAUUUAUGCAAGAAGGGAUUUCUUUUUAUUCUUCCUGCUUGAGGUUUUUGAAUCUGUGGAUUGAUGUAUUGCAUCAUUUCUGGAAAAUUAUUGCCCAUUAUCUCAAGUAUUAUCACUCUUUUAUCCCCUCACACUAUUCUUUAUAGAAAACUGUAUUAGGUGUAUGGUAGCCCUUCUCAUUUUGACCUUCAUAUCUUAUAACCUCUCUUUUAUAUUUUCAUUUCCUUAGCUCUUUAUAAUGUAUUUUUAUGUCACAUUUUUCUUUCAAAUUAUGAAUUUUCUAUUCAUAUUUAUCUAAUGUGAUUUAAGCUCCAAGUGAGGGUCAGCCUUCAUUUUCAAUGAAGAUUAUUUUUUUCUUCCAUACAGAGAAGAUGUUUGAGAUGGUCUGUUUUAUUUGCAACCACCUGGGAGAGAUUCUCUCUGAUUUCCCUUUUCAGUGAAAUUUAUCCUGUUAUGAUUCUUGUUUCAGGAGGGAAGAGAGUUUCCUGUUAGACUUCCCACUUUGGCUGGGCCCUGAAAUUUGUCUCCUCCAUCCUUCCCCUCAAGACCAUGGAAGUAGAAGUUUACUUGGUUUGGAAAAUUCUCUAAAAUCCAGCCUCUGUUUAGCUCUCUGGGUCUCUAGAAUGCCUUGUUUUAUUGAUAGGUCAAUUAUGUGCUCUAAAAGAUUUUCAAAAAUAUUCUUUCCUGAUCUUUUUAGUUGUUUUAUCAAAUUUUCUGGUCUCAACCAAGAUUUUUCUUUCCCUUUAUAUCACAAGUCACUAUGCCUCCUCUGUGAUUGAAUCAAUGAAUUUCAGCACUUUUGGGGAAGGACAGAUGGAGUCUGAAAACCAAAAAAUUAUUGCUUAUAACUCCAAAGCCACCCUUAUAUUUAGAUUGUAGUGAAGCAAGAGCCUAGAAAACUGAGAGGUUUUUUUGUUUUUUGUUUUUUUGUUUUUUGAGAGAGAGAGAGAGAGAGAAAGGAGUUCUUCAAAAUAUUAGAGGCUGUGAUUUGGUUUGCCUGAACCAGUGGCUAGAUUAAUUAUGUGUCUGAGACUCUGGGUUUGCAGCAUAGUGAGAGCCAACAUCGAGCCAAGGGUGGAGGGGUGGCCCAGAGAGACCAAUAGGCCCAUUAUAGGCCAAGAAAAAACUGUGAGCUGUGCUUGCUAAUUGUAGACUUUUAUUCAGAGCUUCAGGAAUGGCAGAGGCUAAAAACCAGAGAGCAGAAAGUAUCACUUACUCCCCAUCUGGAGGUGAGCAUGUGGUAGCAGGUUGCCCAGUGGUCAAUGAGGAGAAGAGGCACAUCCUUACAGGCUCUGAGAAUCAAGGACACAAUCCAUGUAGAGGCCAUGAAACUGUGUUGAGGAAAGGGAAAGGAGGGGUAUCAGUUCUGAUAAGAAGUUUGAACCUUCCAUUUGAUUGAAUAUGUAUCCAAAAGUGCAGAACUAAAAACCAUACAAAAAAAGCUUUUUCAGAUUGGCAGAAACUAGGAUACUUCUAAUUGGAACACCAAGUUUCUCACCCACCCAAUGGGCUGAGGUGGACAGAGAUGCCUCAUAAGGAAGUGUACUUUCUUAUAUAGUGAAAGAGAGAAAAUUAUAGUUCUUGUAGACUUCACAGAUAUUGUGCUUACAUUUUUUAACCUCAGUAUACAAGUAAAGUAAUUCAGUUAAUUAAUUAAUUGAAUUAAAUAAUGAAUGGUAAUUAUAUUAAGAAACCUAAGUUAACUAUAUUCCUUUUAACAUUUAUCUUUUAAAACAAUAACAUUUUUGCUAUUAGUCUAGAAUUUGACAACUAAACGAUCUUAGGAAUAAAAAUGAAUUACUUCGCAGUUCUCUGGCCAUUCAAACAGAGCAGUAGCUUUUGAGUAAAAAGGUUAAAAGUCACUGUAUUCCAAGAAAACUCUGUCCCUGAGUUGUAAGCUGAAGAGAAAGGACUGAGGCACUACAUUAGCUAAAAUGAGACAAAUUGACCAUGUAUUUCAAAAUGGCUCAGCUUAAGCAUCCUCUUAUUUUUUGAAAUGUCAGAGGAGAAGAAAAUACUUGCUAAGCAGGGAACAGAGAUAGUUCUCAUUCAAAUAAAAUGCACUCUACUUCACUUAAAAUCUAAAUUCAUCUUAAGUGAAGGAAUGAUAUUUUAUUGCAAUCAGUCCCACUUCCACAUAAUUGACUUUUUAAGCAAAAAGAUCAUUUUAUCUAUGUAUAAUUAAGCACAAUUAAUCUUCUCUUGGAAAGACUUUACAUAUAACUAUAAUGUAAUUAGGAAAUGUGACAUUCAUAUUGUAGAAUUCAGAACACUUUGAUCACUUUAAGCAUAUAUGUUACUUUUAUUCCAGAUUUAAUUUUCCAAUUUUAUUACUUAUCUAACCAUUAUUUAUUAUGUAUUUAGGCAAUGCAGACAGAGCAAGAAAGGAGAUAGACAUGGUCCCUGCCUUCAUGGAGCUUACAAUUUAAGAAGUAUAGGCUGUGUGUCAAAAAGGAAGGAACCAGAAAAGAAAGAAGGCAGAUUCAAUGAACAAAGGACAAAGAAGGAAAAGAAAGAUGAAACUCACAGAAAAAUUUUGGUGUCCCAGAAAUCAAAGACAUUUGCUGACUCAAUUUAUUCAGUCAAAUGGUUAGUAUGAGGAAAGUUAGCUAGGUUGACUGUCUGAAUGGGCCUGAAAAUUAAGUCAAAUUAUUGAAUCUAAAAACAAACCAUCUUGAGUUCCCAUCAUGGUGCAGCAGAAACGAAUCUGACUAGGAACCAUGAGGUUGCAGGUUCGAGCCCUGGCCUCUCUCAGUGGGUUGGGGAUCUGGCAUUGCCAUGAGCUGUGGUGUAGGUUGCAGAUGUGGCUUGGAUCCUACGUUGCUAUAGCUGUCUGAGCAACAUCUGCAGCCUACACCCCAGCUCAUGGCAAUGCUGAUCCUUAACCCACUGAGCAAGACCAGGGAUCAAACCAACUUCAUGGAUACUAGUCAGGUUUGUUACCACUGAGCCACAAUGGGAACCCCCGUAUUUUAAAAAAAUAUGUUAAAAUUUCCUAAAACCACAAGAUUACUGAAUUAUUUUGUUUUGUUUCUUCAUUACUAAGUUCGCUGGAAUAAUCUCUAGAAACUGGGAUUAUUUUAUCACCCCUUAUGGGGAAAGUUGUAAAUCAAGACUUUGUACUUCUUAACAACUUACUUCUUAAAGUAAGAGGCAACGGAUUUUCACAUUCAAGGAUGAAAUCAUUGCAAAAAGUGAGUCUAAAAAGACUUAAAAUUUUUGAGUGAGCCACUGGAUAGUCAUUUUAAUAUCUCUAAACUGCUAAAGUAUGAUAUAGCUAUUUGGAGGGGCCAGUGUUAAACAAGGCCUGUAAAAAGUACACAUUUUAUUAAUCUGUUGAGAUGAUGAUUAGCCAUCGGUAUGAAGGGAGGAAAGGGAGCUGUAGGAAGGUCCAAUAGAGAAAAUUGAAGACUCUUUUAGUUUAUUAAUAGUAAAUAGAUGAGGGAUGGUCAAUGUGACUAAGAAAUUUAGAUCACUAGUUAACUGAACUCUCAAAAGAAACACAGGCUGCCUCUGUUUAUGAGAGGGAGAUGAGAAAGAAAAAGCAGAAUUAUCAAUGUAAGGGAGCGCCAUGGCACAUCAAAGGUAUCCUGCCCGUGCAGCUGUGCCAUGGAAUAGUGUGAACACAUAGAAAACCAAAAAGAAAUGAAUGGGAAUAUUAAAAUUCCAAUGGAGAAUAUAGAAGGGGGGGGGGGACACAGCACUCCAGUCAGUUUAAUUCAUGUUUUUGUUGUCCUUCAUUAUCCUGACACCAUGUUUCUCUAUGAAAGACAAAGUAAAGGUGCUUUAAACAUUAGAACAAAGUUUAAAAGUAGUUUAAAAGAACUGCCAGUGAUACCUCACACAUUUGGAAAGUUUUCAAGCCCAUGAAAAUUUUUCAUCUCUUUGGAUUGAGUUUCUGUGAUGUCAUGUUUAAAAGAGAAGAUUCUUGGGCUUCCUUCAUCUAACUGGAAAGCAAAGGAAGUCAUCUGAAAUCAGCAAUGCCACAGUGGUGUUAAAGCCACUGUCUGCAGUGGCUACUACUUGUAAUGAAGUGAGUGAUAAGUGAAAGGAUCUAAAAAUAACUAGGAGCUAAGAUAGCACAUUUGAGAUAAGUUCAUCAGAGUCAUGGCAUGCUUAGGAUAUUGAAAAAAGUCUUAGUUCCACCUCUUAACUCUAUGAACUCAGACUAAGUUCUCACUGACUAAGCUCAAGGGAGAAUCUUGUUUUUCUUGCCUUCCCCUUUUAUGGUUCAGAAAUAGGGGAUAUAUUAGCUAUUUAUACUGACUUCAAUAUAACUAAAUUUUUUAACGAGAACUCUUCUCCUCUGUCUCCUCCACCUAUCCAACUUGCUUCAUGAUAAUUUAUGUCUAAAACUAGUGCAAAUGUUGAUUUGCUCUGAGAUGCUUGAUUUUGUUGUUAUGGAAGAGUUACAGAUCAAUCUUGAACUUACUUCUUGAAGAACUUAUAUAACUCUACUCUUCCACUACUUCUCUCUUCACCACUCCUCAUAUUAAGUAACACAUUUAUACAAUAGGGAAGUUUCAAAUGAAAAUAUACAAUGUUUGUCACAACCUUUAAUAUUUCUUCUCAGUAACAAUAGUAAGGGAAAGUGAUGCUUCUCCAUUCAUAAUAAUAGGCAUAUCUAAAUAAACACUGCCCUUUGCAAUUUAAAUUCCCUACAGGUAAAAAGUUCUCAAUGAAGAUCAAGAAUAUAGUAAAACUCCAUUAAUUCAAAUGUUUUAUUUAAAAUUGUGAUGUUAGCCCUAUUGCAUACCACUACUAUGAACACACUGAGUAAGCAAACAGUUAUGCUAAAAAUAUAAAGGAAAAAAACAUUAGACUGAAAAAUACUCAGAUUUUGAACAUAUAUUUAUACUGCUUUUCUCCCAAUUAAAUACAGUUAAUGUUAUUUACGCACUUAUCUCACAAAUUAGAGCAUUGUAAUUAGAUGUCAUUUCAGAAGAAGAGUUAAUCAUCACAACUUUCAGAUAUUGUUUUAUUUUAUUUAAAACACAUUUUCUUAAACUAUAUAAUUGUUCAGUGUGAUCUAACAGGUUUUCAAGGGAGUAUAAGUUAGUAAACUAUCAUUUAUCGUACUAGCUUUUAAAAAAUGUUCUCCCCUUCCGUAAAUUAAAGGCCAUGUGUCUUGGUCUGUACUGGUCUAACAUGCCAGCAUUAUCUCCCCACCCCCAGUGUAUCUUUAUCUUAGUCAUGUCAGAUGGACACUGACAGGGCACUAGGACCACGUCUGUAGUGAUUGCCUGAAGUUUUUAGCUGUUCAGCAUGACUUUCCCCCUUUUAUUGGGUAUUGGUACCCAUAUUCCCCCUUAGGAAACUUCCUUCACUUCUAGUUGAGGUGGAUUACGGUGUCUUUGCUUGGAGUCCUCAGAAAGUGGAGCCUGAGGCAAAUGGCUUAUGAGCUACUACUUUAUUAGGAAGCACAGUCCAGGGAACAAGAGUAAGAGACAAACAGAGAAGGAAGAAAAGCCAAUAUGAGAAUGUGCUAUUAAGGAGCCAUUUAAGCAGUGUGCUUAGAAGAAUCUUUCCUGGAGAAGAAAGGGGGAAGAAUUUAUCCAUCAGCUUCUGUCUCUCUUUGGUCAAAGAUUUGCCCAAGGUUAUACAACUGGAGUAGUAAAGUCAAAGAUUCAAAUGCAGGAUGUCUGGCUCCAGAGCCCUGGCUCUGAACCAUUCAUGAGGUGUUCUCAUGAGUGUUAGUCAUUGAUAAGAACUAAGGAAAAAAUAGAAGCCAGGAUAGAAAGCAGGGCAGUUUGGAAAUUUUUAAUUGACCUGGGAUGGUUUCACAGAGGUGAUAUUUGAGUAGAGACCUGAAUAUCAAUCACAUCUCUUAGGGAAAGAGCAUGCCAGGAAAUACAAUGAGAUGUUUUGAUGGACAAUGAGGCAAGUGUGGCAGCUGCAAUAUGAGUGAGGUGGAGAGCAGCCAGAGAGAAAAGAGAAGCUGUAGAUCAUGUAGGGUCUUGGACCACUGGAAGACCUUUGGCUCUUACUCUGAGAUGGGAAACCAUUGACAGUUUAGGAGCAGAGAAGUGAUAUGCUCUGACUACAGUAUUAAUAGAAUCAUUAGUAUUAGAGCAAUAAGAGCCAAAGGGGAAGCAGGAAUAAACUGUGAGAAGGCUUUUGCAAUCCUUAAGCGAGAGAAACUUGUGUCUUGGACCAGGGUGGUGGGAGUGGAGGUACUGAAGAAUAGUUGCAUCCUGGAUAUAUUUUAAAAGUGGAAGCAGGUACUGCAGAUGGAUUAGGUUAUAAAUAAGCUACUAAGUAAAUAGUUAGAAAAGGCCCCCUAUUGGGACAUUUUAAAAUAUAUUUUGACUAACUCACAGGACAAUAAAAAAAUCAUAAUGAAAAAUUUAAAGGAAAUAUUUAGAACUGAAGAAGAAUAUGUGGGAUGCAGAUAAAAUGUACUUGAAGGAAAUUUAUAACCCUAAAUACUUAUAUUAAAAGAGAAGAGAGGCUACAAAUUAAUAAGUAUCCAGCCAGAGAACUUAGGAAUAUAAUAGCAGAAUGGAUUCAAAGAAUUAGAAGGAUGGAAGAAUUAAAUUAGAGGUAUAUCAAUAUAAGAUGUAUAAAACAGAACAACGGAAUAAAAAAUUCUUUUAAAAUAUUAAUCAGA
rnacentral:lncRNA from 1 species